CCUACGGGAGGCAGCAGUGGGGGAUAUUGCACAAUGGGGGAACCCUGAUGCAGCGACGCCGCGUGGGUGAAGAAGCGCCUCGGCGCGUAAAGCCCUGUCAGCAGGGAAGAAAAUGACGGUACCUGAAGAAGAAGCCCCGGCUAACUACGUGCCAGCAGCCGCGGGAAUACGUAGGGGGCAAGCGUUAUCCGGAGUUACUGGGUGGAAAGGGGGCGCAGACGGCGAUGCAGGGCAGGAGUGAAAGCCCGGGGCCCAACCCCGGGACUGCUCUUGGAACUGGUGGGCUAGAGUGCAGGAGGGGCAGGCGGAAUUCGUGGUGUAGCGGUGAAAUGCGUAGAUAUUAGGAGGAACACCAGUGGCGAAGGCGGCCUGCUGGACGAUGACUGACGUUGAGGCUCGAAAGCGUGGGGAGCAAACAGGAUUAGAUACCCCUGUAGUC
rnacentral:rRNA from 1 species